CAAGUCAGCUAGCAGCUGUCCACUCCGUCUGUCAGCAUGGCCCCAGCGUGCAAGCCGAGGCCCUCUCUGUGGGUAGCUGCAGUUUAGUGCUGGCCGCUCUCCCUCAGGGCUGCCCUACCUGCCCCCGGAGCAUGGUCCCCGGAGCCUCUGAGUCCCCCCGAGCCUCUGAGUCCCUGGACGGCCCUCCCCUCCCUGCCCUCUGCAGUGGCGUCAGACUCCAACACAGUCUGAAGCUUCCCACUCCAUCCUGGCUCCCUCUCCUCCUUUCAGAGGCACGAGAUGCACAGGAGUGUUUCCGCGGGUCGUGGAAAGAGGAUCCAACACCGGUGGCUGGAGAGCAGGCUGGAGGGGCAGACGCUGUGACCAGCAGGAACCCGCAGGGCAAGGGCUGACCCCGGCGGGGGAGCUGCAGCUGCUCCCCCAAGACCCUGGUGACCUGGCUGUGCAGGGCAAUACAGCUGCAUCAGGCUCAGGUGCGUUGCCUGGAACACCAAUCUGCCUCUACCUUGUCCCCUCCCCACGGUGCCCGUGGGAGUCACACCAACACUGAUCCUGGGCAUUCAUUCUCUGCGGAGCCAGACUGUCUUCCAUCUGAGUCGCGAGGCCCAGAGCACACGCCUCCAAGUGCCCGUCUCUCCAAGAGCCGCUGGCUCUGGCCCUUCUUGAGUCCUGGUCUUCUGUGUUCCUUGGAUUCAGCACAUCCCCAGCUGCUGGGGUUUGCCCAUGUUCACCGCUGUUGCUUGCACUCCCAAGGCUCGGACCGGGCCAAACCAAAGGCGUGCAUCUCGGAGAGAGAUGGGACAGGAGUAACUACCAUGGCAACACCCACGUUGACCUGGCACACAGGAGCCUGGCACACACGUAACCCACCUGAACGGCCACGAGGAAGCUGCCACAAAGCUGUUUUAGACACGAGAAGAGUGACAUUCAGAGAGAUUAGUCAAGCUGGCGGUCAAGCGGUCAAUCCUGGCCAAUGGUGUGCGACGGGGAGUGAAGGUCCGUUUCCUGAGAUGCAGUCACAGGCCACUGUCGUUCCCCUAGCUCUCUCUCCUAUUUCCUGUGACUCUCAUGAUGACUUUGGAGAUCACAAGCUGCAAAUGACGUUGGCUGUAGGUGGAAGAGGCCAUCGGCGGCACACCACAGUGGGUAGCCGUCUGAGCAGAGGGCCGGGAACAACAGCAUAAGGCAGGGACGGUUUGGAGGCCAGGCCUCUGAGGCCCAGAGAGGUUGGAAUCCUGAGGUGGUCUUGAGAUUCAGCCUCUGUUUGUCUGUCCCCACCCACCAGUGGUCCUGUGGAUGCUCUAACGCAGCACUGGGGCUUCUCCCCUCCACCUUCUGCAAGGGAGAGGGGCUCCCUUGACCUGAUCUGUGUACAGAGCUGAAUUCCCCGCAGGAGCCGCGCUGCAAGAUGCUGUGGAAGAGACGGGAGAGUGGCCGGCAGCCCUUUGAACACCGGGAUACUGGAGACAUCAGUGGGUUAACUUCACAACCAACGGACAUAGUUUCUAUGGGAAAAUACAUUGUAAACCCCAAACAACUGACUUGGAAACAGACCUGGAACUCAGCCUGCGUAUAAAUCAGGGGCUGAGCUGUGAGCGUUGUUUGUUUUGAACGUGACCCCACUGGACUCUCCUCUCCUUAGCCUGGUUCUUUCUCUCGCUCACUCUUUUCUUUCCUUGAUGCUGUGCAAAGACCCCAGGCAUCCUUGUAGUUCAUUGGCAAAAGCCACACGGUCCCCUAGCUGGGUAUACAUCUUACUGACUGUCCCCUAGAGAUGUGUUUCAUCACUAUGGAAAAUGAAAUUCUGUUUUCCUA